rnacentral:ncRNA from 1 species
CUGAUAAAUAUGCAUGGGUCGAUAUCGGAAUAGAUAGCCCGGUUCCUCUUAAAGUACUUCAGCAGGAAGUAUCAAUAGGAGAGCGCGUUAAUGUCAG